CCCUACUAGUGUUGCCUGGGGGUGCUUUUAUGUGUGCACCCUGGAAGAUAGGUCCAGAAGCCUUGCGAUUUCUUAGAUUAAAGCUAAGUGUACUCGUGACCCUACCAGCACUUUUCAAGAUACUUUCGACGUAUUCAUUGCGGUGAACAACGCGGUUGGGACAGCACACUCACGACGUGGGAAGGUCACAGAAAUGUUGAAAGACAUCAGAUGUGUGGAAACGUCGUAGCGGAUGAAUGUGAAUUAUGGAUCUCCAAGUGGCGUCGCCCGCGUCAUUUUCAAGAUUUUACCCGUUUUGAAGGCAAUAGGGCUGUUGAUA